UACAGAGGUCUCAAGCGUUGUUCGGAUUCAUUGGGCGUAAAGGGCGCGUAGGCGGUCACGCACGUCCGUUGUGAAAUCGCUCGGCUCAACUGGGCGGGGUCAGCGGAUACGGUGUGGCUGGAGCAAGCUAGGGGGCAAUGGAAUUCCCGUGUAGUGGUGGAAUGCGUAGAUAUCGGGAGGAACACCAGUGGCGAAGGCGGUUGCCUGGACGCUUUGCUGACGCUGAUGCGCGAAAGCGUGG
rnacentral:rRNA from 1 species